AUUGAACGCUGGCGGCAGGCCUAACACAUGCAAGUCGAACGGUAACAGGAAGAAGCUUGCUUCUUUGCUGACGAGUGGCGGACGGGUGAGUAAUGUCUGGGAAACUGCCUGAUGGAGGGGGAUAACUACUGGAAACGGUAGCUAAUACCGCAUAACGUCGCAAGACCAAAGAGGGGGACCUUCGGGCCUCUUGCCAUCGGAUGUGCCCAGAUGGGAUUAGCUAGUAGGUGGGGUAACGGCUCACCUAGGCGACGAUCCCUAGCUGGUCUGAGAGGAUGACCAGCCACACUGGAACUGAGACACGGUCCAGACUCCUACGGGAGGCAGCAGUGGGGAAUAUUGCACAAUGGGCGCAAGCCUGAUGCAGCCAUGCCGCGUGUAUGAAGAAGGCCUUCGGGUUGUAAAGUACUUUCAGCGGGGAGGAAGGGAGUAAAGUUAAUACCUUUACUCAUUGACGCUACCCGCAGAAGAAGCACCGGCUAACUCCGUG
rnacentral:rRNA from 1 species